CCCUUAGACGUUCUGGGCCGCACGCGCGCUACACUGACCAGUGCAACAAGCAUCCGUCCUUGGCCGACAGGCCCGGGCAAUCUUUGAACGCUGGUCGUGAUGGGGAUAGACUUUUGCAAUUUUUGGUCUUCAACGAGGAAUUCCAAGUAAACGCAAGUCAUCAACUUGCAUUGAUUACGUCCCUGCCCUUUGUACACACCGCCCGUCGCACCUACCGAUUGAAUGGUCCGGUGAAGCCUCCGGAUUGGCGCGCACCUCGGUGCCGCCGAGAAGUUGGCUAAACCUUACCAUUUAGAGGAAGGUGAAGUCGUAACA
rnacentral:rRNA from 1 species